rnacentral:rRNA from 1 species
ACAUGCAGUCGAGCGGUAGAGAGGUGCUUGCACCUCUUGAGAGCGGCGGACGGGUGAGUAAAGCCUAGGAAUCUGCCUGGUAGUGGGGGAUAACGCUCGGAAACGGACGCUAAUACCGCAUACGUCCUACGGGAGAAAGCAGGGGACCUUCGGGCCUUGCGCUAUCAGAUGAGCCUAGGUCGGAUUAGCUAGUUGGUGAGGUAAUGGCUCACCAAGGCGACGAUCCGUAACUGGUCUGAGAGGAUGAUCAGUCACACUGGAACUGAGACACGGUCCAGACUCCUACGGGAGGCAGCAGUGGGGAAUAUUGGACAAUGGGCGAAAGCCUGAUCCAGCCAUGCCGCGUGUGUGAAGAAGGUCUUCGGAUUGUAAAGCACUUUAAGUUGGGAGGAAGGGCGUUAACCUAAUACGUUAGUGUUUUGACGUUACCGACAGAAUAAGCACCGGCUAACUCUGUGCCAGCAGCCGCGGUAAUACAGAGGGUGCAAGCGUUAAUCGGAAUUACUGGGCGUAAAGCGCGCGUAGGUGGUUCGUUAAGUUGGAUGUGAAAUCCCCGGGCUCAACCUGGGAACUGCAUUCAAAACUGUCGAGCUAGAGUAUGGUAGAGGGUGGUGGAAUUUCCUGUGUAGCGGUGAAAUGCGUAGAUAUAGGAAGGAACACCAGUGGCGAAGGCGACCACCUGGACUGAUACUGACACUGAGGUGCGAAAGCGU